UACAGAGGUCCCAAGCGUUGUUCGGAUUUACUGGGCGUAAAGGGUGCGUAGGUGGUUGGGUAAGUUUGAUGUGAAAUCUCCGGGCUUAACCCGGAAAUGGCAUUGAAUACUAUUCGGCUAGAGGUUUGGAGGGGGACUGGAAUUCUUGGUGUAGCGGUGAAAUGCGUAGAGAUGUGGAGGAACACCAGUGGCGAAGGCGACUCUUUGGCCUGUAACUGACGCUGAGGCGCGAAAGCGUGGGGAGCAAACAGG
rnacentral:rRNA from 1 species